GGCUAAUCUCUUAAACACGUUUUGCACCUUCCUGACCAGGUAUAGGUCAGGUGGCACGCCCUGCGACUCCGGAAGCUAAAGGCGUGUGCCAGGAUCUGGGCCGUUGACAGAGGGACCGGUGCCAGCCAGCGCCCCGGCAGCCUCCCGGCUCUUCGUGUUGUCUGUCGCUGCUCGCCGGUGGGUUUCGACCGACAACAAUCAUUGAUGGACAAGUUCAAGAGCUUAAUAAUAGAUUUGAUGAGUUGCAAUUGCUGGUGUUGAGAGGAUCUUUUCUAUAAUGAACUUUGUCAAAAACAAGCUAAGAAGCAAGAUGGGGCAGAAAUUUUUGAAUGGUUGCUUGGUCACUUUCAUUGAAAGGGAAUUCUUCUUGCAAGCUAAGGAUCAGGGCAUCAUCUCUUAUUUUCAAAGCAUUAAGGAUCAAAAAGUUAAACUGUAGGCUGAAAUUUGUAAGCUUUCUUAACAUUUUGCUGUUUUAUCCUCUAUUUAUUUUACAUGUUGCAACUUGGAUGUGAUCAUUUAGUACAUCUAUUAUCUCCGUGUCGAACAAUUUCAAGUUAUGUUAUGGUAAAUGCUAUGAUUUUGAUACUUAAUUAUGUGCUAUGAAUAUAUACUUUAGGUUGCCAAAAAAA